rnacentral:misc_RNA from 1 species
UUUCCGUAGGUGAACCUGCGGAGGGAUCAUGUAUACGUUUAACGUCUUUUCGUAUGUGGCAACACAUGCUGGAAUCACGAUAAAUUCGGGUCAACGUGUAGUGGAACUUCGUUUGCGCGAAGCCCACAGCACGCUGGCCUACAACCCAUCGCGAACUGGAUAUACGUAGCAGAGACGAUGCAUCGGCAGGGGUUGCGCGCCUCGCGCGCGCUCCGAUCGAUCUCGUGUUUGCGAUCUUUCUACUAUUUUUAACCCCUUUUUCUUAACGAAACCAAUCGGAUUCUGUUGAAUUUUUUCUAUAUUCUAGAAAAAGCUGCUUUCUUAUUAAUGCAAAAAGCAAAAGAACAACUCUUAGCAACGGAUAUCUUGGUUCCC